AGAGAGAGACAUGCGCGCAUAUCAAUAAGCGGAGGAAAAGAAACUAACAAGGAUUCCCCUAGUAACGGCGAGUGAAGCGGGAAGAGCUCAAAUUUGAAAUCUUAAAGGGUUUCCCUUUACGAAUUGUAGUUUAAAGAAGUGUUUUCUGUUGAGGUUUUGGUAAAAGUUCUUUGGAAUAGGACAUCAUAGAGGGUGAGAAUCCCGUAUUUGACCUUUACUUUCAACUUUGUGAUACACUUUCAAAGAGUCGGAUUGUUUGGGAAUGCAGUCCAAAAUGGGUGGUAAAUUUCAUCUAAAGCUAAAUAUUGGCGAGAGACCGAUAGCGAACAAGUACCUGUGAGGGAAAGAUGAAAAGAACUUUGAAAAGAGAGUUAAACAGUACGUGAAAUUGUCAAAAGGGAAGCGUUUGACACCAGUGUUGUUUUUCUGAAAAUCAAUUAAAGAACUGUUUAUGCUAAGUUGUUUAGACUUUAUCAGCUAAUCUGUUUAGUUUUGAGCUUUUCUUUAAUGCACUUUUCAGUUAACAAGUCAACAUCAAUUUCUUUUGCUGUAAAAAAGCUUGAGGAAGGUGGCUUGAGAUUCGUCUUAAGUGUUUAUAGCCUCUUGCCUAUGCAGUCGGAGAGAUUGAGGUCUGCAGCGUAGAUCCUUCGGGGCUAAAUGCAUUUGUGCUAAGUUAUAACAUUUUAUAGACAACUUGUUGACUAUGAUUUGUCUUGUAGCUUACUCGCUUAUGUUAUUUUACCUACGCUUAGGAUGUUGACGCAUGAGAUAUACGC
rnacentral:rRNA from 1 species